CCCCCGGAAGCGGAGCGGGGGCCGAGCAGCUGACAGCAACAUGGCGGCGGCGGCCGGGCGGCGUGGCGGGGGCUUGGGGCGGCCCCCGGCGCCCGUGAGGGACGUGCCGCCCGCCGGGGAGCUGGUGCGGCCCUCGGUGACAGAGCUGUCCCAAGUGCGGACCAACAUCCUGUGCACCGUGCCCGGCUGCGGGAAGGUGCUGCCCAACAGCCCGGCCCUCAACAUGCACCUCAGCAAGGCGCACCCGCUCCAGGAUGGAAAACUUAAUGCACCAAUAAGGAAGGGUUUGAAAACUUCACAGAAAUUCUACUGCUGUCCUAUUGAAGGCUGCCCUAGAGGACCAAACAGACCAUUUUCCCAAUUUUCUCUUGUAAAACAGCACUUUAUGAAAAUGCAUGCUGAAAAGAAGCACAAAUGUGAUAAAUGUAGUAACUCCUAUGGCACAGAAUGGUAUUUGAAACGGCAUAUAGAGGUCUGUGGCAAGACUUUCCAGUGUACUUGUGGGUGCCCUUAUGCCAGCAGAACAGCACUGCUGUCUCACAUUUACAGAACUGGCCAUGAAAUUCCUGCAGAACACAGGGAUCCUCCUAGUAAGAAAAGGAAAAUGGAGUCCUCCGUUCAUAAUCAGCAGUUGGCAGAGAAAGCAAACGAAGCAUUCAGCAAUACACACAGUACUGCUCCUGGCACUCAGGAACUGGAGUCCUCUGAAGUGAAAGUAGCAGCCUCUCUUGAAGGCUCCUGCAGUUCUAACUUCACAAACCAAAUGCAGCCAAAAUGUGCACCAAAGAUGCUUUUACCCAAGCCCAAGGUGGCUUUGGUUAAACUUCCAGUGAUGCAGGUUGCUCACUUGCCUGUGUAUGUAUCUGCAACAGACUCUUCUGUCAAACCUGCUGUAGUGGCUGUUGAUAAUCGAGGUUCAGUUGUAAGUACUGUUCAUUUAUUGCCUCAGUCUAUAGGAAUCCUGAUUCCAGCCCUGGAGGCAGAAACACUUGUAUUUAAAGACAGUAUGCCUGUUUCAAAAGUGACAACUUCUGGUGAUCGCGAGCCAGUAAGUACUGGUGUACAAGUUGAAUUGGACAAGGUUACAUCAAAUAACCCAGGGCAAGAGCUGGGGAAUGUUUGUCACAAGAACAAAAUUUCUUCAAUAAAUAUACAGACUGACUUAUCUUAUAUCUCACAGAGCUUUGUACCAGCUGCAGCCUGGACUCCCAAUUCUUCUGUGUCCUCUUGUUCUCAGACAGAUCUGUCAUUCAGUUCCCAGGUUUCAUUGCCCAUCAGUGUACAGACACAGACACUGCUGCCUGCUUCCAAGCUGACUUCAUCCAUAGCUGCUCAGACUGAUGCUUUCAGUCAGGGCUGUUUUCCAACGUGUGGCAUUUCCAGAGAGACUCAAACCAGCAGGACACAGGACUGUAUUGAUGGAAGAGUACAGAUGGACCAGGCUGUAAUGUGCAGUGACAUUUUUGACAAUGUUCCUUCAUCAUAUAAUGUUUCUACUCACAUUGAAAUUCCAGAAAACAAUUUAAUGCCUGCAAAUAUAGAUCAGACCUUGCUGCAAAGAAGUAGUUGCAAGAGCCCGAAUCAGGAUACAGUUAAGUCUGAAUCCCUUAUCAGCUUCAAUACACAGACUAAUAUACUUCCACCUCAAAAUACAACAGAUAAUCAAACCCAGACAAUGGACCUGCUAAGUGAUCUGGAAAACAUUUUUUCAGGAAACAUGUCUGGCCAGACACUGGAUAAUCGUGGCCUUUUGUCUGAGACAAGUUCUAAUGCUGACACACAUCUUCCUUCUGCUCCAUCACAGAGCACAGGGAUAGACUUCGACAUUGAAGAGUUCUUUUCAGCAUCCAACAUCCAAACUCAGACUGAAGAGAGUGAGCUUGGUACCCUGAACUCUGAGCCAGUUUUGGAGUCACUGGACAUUGAAACUCAGACUGAUUUCUUAUUUUCAGAUAGUGCCACUCAAUCAUAUAACUGCCGAGGCAGUUCUAACUUCUUAGGUUUGGAGAUGUUUGAUACACAGACACAGACAGACUUGAAUUUCUUUUUGGACAGUACUACCCAUCUGCCUUUAGGAAGUAUUCUGAAACAGUCCAGUUUCUCAAUGAGCACUGACUCAUCUGAUACAGAAACCCAGACAGAAGUGUAUAUGGCUACUAAAAAUACACCUGCUCAGAAUAUUGAAAGCAAAGUCCAGCUCAGUAGUGCUGAGACCCAGACUAUGGAUAGCUGCUUUGAGAAUCUGGGGAGUUUAUUCCUUACCAGCAAUGAAACACAGACAGCAAUGGAUGACUUCCUUCUGGCUGACUUAGCCUGGAAUACAAUGGAGUCCCAGUUCAGUUCAGUAGAAACACAGACCUGUGAAGAGCUGUGCUCCUUGUUCCAGAGCUCUGACAAGCCCAGCCACUGAGUGCUAAUAUAACUGUUUCUUGUGGUUUGAAUUUAAUUUAUUGGGGUGGGAGAGAUGGCUUUACCAAUUGAUCCACUUUGCAUUAUUGAAUGUACUUGUCACAAGCAGUUGACCUAAGAGACUUUUCAUGCUGAAGGUACUCUAUUGAAUAUGUAACUUUACAUAAACUAUGUGUGUAUAAAUAGAGGGGAAAGGGGGGGCUGUAACAUGUUAAUGUACAUUUUGAACCUUAAAAAAUUAUGUGGUGCCUAUGUUCUUUCCUCAAACUUCUUUAUGAAGCUGUUACUGCUUUCAUCUAAGUGGAAGAACUUAUAAAGUUGUUCUCUGUAUCUCUCUCUCUAUUCCUGGCUUACAUGCAGGGUUCCAAUGUGCUGGACCAAAACCCUGACCUGUUCAGUUGAGAUGCUUCCCUGAACUUACGGGGGAGGAUUCUAUUAGUGUAAGCUACUUCUGUUUACUUUUUUUAGUAGCUUGUAUUUUAAAUCCGGCAUGAACAUAAUCAGCCGUAUUGUCUUCUUUUACUUUAUGCCUUCACAGCUCUUUCUCCUGCAUAAGCUGACAUUUUCCAAAUACCUGUCCAACACACUAGACACCUAGAGAUUCAUGAAUUGUUGAAAAUAUUUAUUGUUUUAAAAGUGUGUAGAAAGCAGUAUUUUUUUUUUCCCUGAGUGGCACUGAUGCUCUUUGAAGGGUAGGAAAAGAACAUGGAAUUCAUAAUUGUAGGGAAAAUUAGUAUGUUGUCCUUUUAGCUAGCAUAAUAAAUGGGACUAACAUUUUUAGAGUCUUCAGAAGGGAUUUGCUUAAAUUAUUUCUGUCUUGAAGAUGCAAAUGUUACAAUGUGUGUGCCUCAGAGACUGGAAUCAUUUGGUUUUGCUGAAAUUCUCCUAGCUUUACUGAGAUACAAGUUGAGAAAUGUUACAGUGGUUUACUACCUUAAGAGAAAUCUUUAAAAAUGGACAAUUAAAUUCCUUAAAACACUCACCUUGACUUCUGGUUUUGGACUUCCUGCUUCCAAAAACAGUUGGAAUCCAUACAGCAGAACUGGGAGAUGAGCUCACAGAAGCCCUUCCAGAACAGCUCUAUCUUGCUUUUGCACUUUGAUCUUCAGCCCUCAGUUCCUGCAGCUUUCACAGUUUCCCUGAGUAUAGUCAAACUCACACAAACUGAUUUUGCAGAGAAAAAGCAUAUGACCUGUUGGCACCUUUUUUUUAAUGUUUAGGUUGCCCCUCAUGCCACUGUUUGCAGUAUUUUUCAUUUACAUUAAGCCAGUUGUGAAUGUAUGUUGGAAUUUGGCCUUAAGUAAUUUUUAUCUCUUGCUAUAAUAUCUGUGAAAUGUAGGCCUCUGGUUUUGUACUGGACAGGUUUUAGUUUCUGUAACCUUAAAGGAAAACUCUGUGUGUCAAAUUCCUGGGUCUGUAACAGACUUUACUCCUCCGUUGUUAGAGGAGAGAUAUUGGCUGCAUAUUUACUGUGCAGCCCAGCAGCAAAUGUAUGUCCAAGCCUUAGGUUUUGAGGACUCCCUAUGCUUUGUGCUGCAUAUUCUCAGUUCAAGGAUGUGGGAGUUAAGUUACUCAUUCAUUGCAGCCAGCUUGUUUUUGUUGCAGAUGAGCAAUACCUUUCUUUUAUCCUUUUUUUUUUCUUUUGUCUUUUCCUAAUAUUUAUAUUGCUGUGGUGAGUGUCUUUACUGAAAUAAUCUCUUCAGAUUAAUCCUGAUACUCACAUUUUCCUCCUGAGACCCCAUCUGUGUUGCCUGGUCGAUUUUUCAACAUUUCUAGGUAUGAUUUCAGACACUUCCAGUCUGGCUGAAGAAACUGCAGAACGGAAUUUUGCAGUUCCUCAGGAGAAAGUCACUCUGCUGUGGGGAAUGUCCCCAGGUUUCACAAUGUCUGUUGAGUUCUCAUCUGUAGGGUGGGAUAUAUUUAAAAAAGGAAGGCCUCCCUUGUAAUUUUGUUUCUUGUGAAGAUGACUGACUCAUAUUUACUUGCCUACUUUGAGAGAUAAGAUAAAGAACGAAGUUGGGUUAAUUUAUUCUAUUGCAAUAUCUUUCUAGUAAUGUUGCAACUUCACAUUUUAAAGUGUUUUUUUUCCUCUGGCUGGAAUACCAGAGAAUGCUUCUUCAUACACUGAUUUCUGUGUUUCCCAUGUGCAAGUUGUCUGCACUGACAUGUGAAAGAGAGGCAGUCACUAUAAACCUGGUUUGGGAAAAGGGUAUUUUCCACAGCUGUAGAAGAUGUUUGUUACCUCUGAAUUUAGAAAGUCAGCCUUUACUCUGCAAGAGAAGCAAUCCUGGGUGCUGAGGAGCAGAAUUACUGAAGGGUUUGAAUUGUAGCCAUCUGAGAGACCAACAAGGUUUAAAGUACUUUGAAACUGAUUUAGAAAUUAGAGUGAUAAUUGCCAUGUUAUUGUGUAAGCCAAAGCUCUUAGCAUCAGGGACUGUCAGGAAAAGACCCAAAAGUUGUAUGGAUGAAAUCUUAUAAUGUAAUCAUUACCCAGUUAUUGCUCUUUUUAAUUAAAAGUCUUUCUGAGCUUUGCGUAUUUUAUUAGAACAUGCAAAUCACAAUCCUUUCACUCAUUCUAUUUAAAACAGUUUGGACUUUAAUUAGGUGAACACAGUACUACAACAUGAAGUCAUUUAUUGAAAGUGCAGUAUUAAGAAAUUAUUAAAUGUCUGCACUGUCUUAGGAAAGACGAAAUUCUGACCAAAAUUAACUUUUUUCUUCACUAUAUUGGUUCUCUAUGAAUUAUUCAUUUAAAAAACAGGAUCAUGCAUGUCUGGCAUAUGUCACUCAGUUUGGAUUUAUGAAGUACUUUUGUGAAAAUGUGAAGACUGAAGCCAGACUUCAUAGUUUGGUGAAUCCCACAGAAAACUUCAUGAAACCUGAUUUGAAACACUAUUGCUGAACAUUAUGAAUUCUUCACAUUUAACCAAAAAGGCUCUCUUGAAAAGAGAGCCUCUUGCAAAAGGCUGAUUUUCUAUUUUUACCUUUGUUAUAAAAUAAACUUCAGGCACAACCAUUUCUGGGUGGAACUAAAAUGAUACUUAUCUCCCUUUUUCUGCAGUUUGUCUCUGAUUUGAUUUUCAAGGCACUGUAUUGUAAGUAUUGGUCAGCAGUGGCUUACUAUCUCAUUCUUUUUUGUAUCCUCUAUUGCCAUUAGAGCUGCUAUACAGAAAGUAACAUCAGAGUCUCUGUAGCCUCUUAGCAGAAUCUUUUAUCUGGAAGUGAUGCUAAUGUUAUGUGUACUUACCCUUUGUGUUUCCUGCUUAAUUCUGUUAAGCUGUGAUUGCUGGAUCUUGAUCCUGACGCCUGUGUAACACUAUUAUAAAAUUGAAUUAGUACUUUUGUAGUUUCAUUUGUGCUUUUCUUUAAUGUAUAGAGUCAAACAAAGAAAACAGCAGAUUUGAGACUUGCGUUCUGUGAGAACAUAAGCAUAAACAAGCUGAAAAAUGAAAGGUCUGUCUUGUUACCUUCCAUAUUUGUUUGUCAGAAUGCUGAAAGUUUGUUUGACUGUAGAUGUUUCCUCUUCUUACAGCUUUAUUUGUGUCUGUUUCUGCUAAUACACCUGUAAAUACUUUUUGCUGUGGAUAGGGAGGGAGUCCUCCCCAAAACUUUGUGUUUGCCUAGAAAAACUGGUAGUUUUAAGUCAGAGUUUGCUAAUGCUACAUAUUCUUAGUUAUGUGAAGCUGCUUGAGUUUAGAAAAUUCUCAGUUCCAAAGGAUAUGAAAGCAUUAAAAAAUGUAUAUAUACUUGCAGCUGUAAAUUAAACAGCUGCAAAAGAAACCUUGUGAAACCUCGUUAAGUUUUGAACAACUUGUUCGAUGUCUGUAACUUAAUGUAUGUAACUAACUCCUUAGAAAUUUUUAUUUCAAGGCACAAUACACAGUUGGUUUUUUUUCUGUUGGAAACAAGAGGCUGAAUUUCCUUGUUAGUCAUAUGGACCCCAUUUGUGUAGGGGCAAGAGAACAAAGAACGAUGUCUGCCUUCCACUGUUCUGAGUCCUUAUGCUGCUAUGAUGUGAAUUGAUUUUUUUUUUUUGUGAGGCUGGGUAGAAAUGUAAGAGUUGGCAGGACUGGGGGCUUAGGGGGCUAGAGGGGGUUUAAUAGCCUUUUAAAUGUAAGGAAAUUUAAUAGAACUGAUACUGAAUCAUCAUAGGGUGCUCAACUUGCAAAAGAACAUGUUCCUGAAAUGGCAACUCGGAGGUGAACUAAAUGUGCUUGCCUUCAUCAUUAAGGUUGUACAGCUUCCUUUGCUUUAAUAUAUUUCUGAUGUGUGCUGAUUUUUUAAAUAUGAUCUUAAUGUACCAUUUGCUGUUCCAAAUACAUUCACACCAAACUGUUGAUACCAUUCUGAGCCUUGCAAGCUUUUUCAUUCCUGUUUGGUUUAAAGUGCUGCUAUGUCCUGGUAGGAUGGGCCUGCAGUAACCAGGCUGCCAUUGACAGCAGGAGCACUGUGAGGAUACGGCUGUUUAAUGGUAGCAAACAAGUGUGUGGUGCAAUCGUGCAUCUUCUGUUUCUUUUGUUGUUGUUUUUAUAAGAGUUGAUGUGAAUUUAAAUAUGUGCAAGAAGGACUUGCUGCUUAGAACAGGACUGAAUUCUCUUGUUUCAAGUGCCAUUGCUGUGCAAUGAACAGAACUCCGCGUUCAGCCCCGCGGUCAGGGUGAGGGAAUGUUUGUGUUUGUGUUUGUGUGACUCUUCACUGAAAACGUAACCAGACAGCCUGAAAUGGUGGAAACGCCUCAAGGACCUGCUGAGUUAAAUAACAGAAGUCCCUUUACUUGUGACCGUUUUUCAUAUGCUGGCUUUACAGUACCUGCAACAGCUAUAGAAUAUAGCUAUGGGAUAUAACAGAUGACUUGGGGUGGUGCCAGCUCUACAUUUCACAACAUCCAGUGCUUUACAUGCUUCAAGCACCUGCAUGCAGAGCUAGAUUGACAGUACCUCUAUCUACAGACAUUGCCAGUGCAUCUGUGAUAAAGCUAGCUCCCAUGCUUAGUGAUGAUCCCACCAUCUUCUGUUAGUUGGAGGAUAUAAAAUGCUGAUUUUUGUUGUUACCUGUAAGUCUUGCUUGUGUGAUUCAGAGGAGGUGAAUGAGCAGAAGCCUCGUGACUGAAGGUUCAUGUGCACUGUUCCCUCAGCUGCAGUCAUGAAUGAGUGAAGCAUUCCCUGGUGGACAGCAGGAGGCUGCUGUGUUCAGCCCCAUCAGUCUGAGGUAAGCAUUUGCAAACAGCAGCAUUCAGGUAUUUCCAGAGGGGAAAGGGAGGUAUUUACAGAGGGGAAGAUGUCAUAAAUAUCUAGAAACUAAAUUGCUGUUCCAAGCGUUUAAAAUCAUGGAACAGAUGUGUAAGAUCCUUCUGGGAGUAACAGCCCUAUUCCCAUCACAGGGAUGAUUCUGCUUUAGAUUAGGCUGUUGUUUCAGCCUUUCAUCAUGCAAAAUGGAUUUGACUUAUAGGCAGAAGUCAGCUACUUUGACAGACUGCACCUCUAGAAACUUUCACAAAUGGCAGACAGUCCAAAAGGCAGGAAAAACGUAACUCUUGAUUGAGAACAGACUGAGAAGGAAGUGACUUCACAGACAGGGAAGCCCCAUGUAUUUUCAAACUACUUUCUUGCCUGCUGUUGCUGAGAAUUUUGCUGGCAGUGAAAUUGUUCCUGACUGGUUUGGGUUUAGUUCCUGAAUAUCUUUCAUUUGAAGAAAGUUCAUGCUGGCAAGCUGAUUGUUUUCCAUCAGAACAAUGCAGUCAGAGGCUGAUUUUCUUUCUGGCUCCAGGGUUUGACAGUGAAUCAGUCCUUUGGAUGUUUGGACCUAAAACAAUAGGAGAAAAAUGUUGAUUUAACUUUCAGGUGUUCCAUCAUUGCAUUUUCACAUUGUUGUCAACAAUUCAUGUGUCUUGUUUUGGCACCUUGAAUGGAGGAAGCACUUCUGGCUGAUCCAGCCUGUAACUUUAUUUCCUUUCCUUGAACAGGAAUGGUGUUGUUCUUGAGAGAACUUAACACAAAAACAAGAAGCUGCUGUUUCCUCUGCUGGAAGAACCCAGUGUAUUCAAAGGCACAUAACUUGAUUAAGUUUAUGAU